AGUGAACGCUGGCGGUAGGCCUAACACAUGCAAGUCGAACGGCAGCACAGUAAGAGCUUGCUCUUACGGGUGGCGAGUGGCGGACGGGUGAGGAAUACAUCGGAAUCUACUUUUUCGUGGGGGAUAACGUAGGGAAACUUACGCUAAUACCGCAUACGACCUACGGGUGAAAGCAGGGGAUCUUCGGACCUUGCGCGAUUGAAUGAGCCGAUGUCGGAUUAGCUAGUUGGCGGGGUAAAGGCCCACCAAGUCGACGAUCCGUAGCUGGACUGAGAGGCUGAUCAGCGACACUGGAACUGAGACACGGUCCAGACUCCUACGGGAGGCAGCAGUGGGGAAUAUUAGACAAUGGGCGCAAGCCUGAUCCAGCCAUACCGCGUGGGUGAAGGAGGCCUUCCGGUUGUAAAGCCCUUUUGUUGGGAAAGAAAAGCAGCAGGUUAAUACCCCGCUGUUCUGACGGUACCCAAAGAAUAAGCACCGGCUAACUUCGUG
rnacentral:rRNA from 1 species